CAUGUGCUUCCUUAACACUCACAUCACGCAUAGGACUAUAGAAGUAACAGAACCUAAAUGAAAAAGUAAGCAAGAAUAAGAACCCCCAAAACAGUGGCAGUGGGACCCAUAACUCUAGCUAUGUCACAGCUUGCUGAUUUGAGCAUGCAAACCUGUCUGCAUGAAUUAUUGGAAGAAAACCCUGCCCUGUCCAUGCAGAAGGGUACCAUAAAUAUUGGUGAAGGAACCUUUCACGAGUUUCAACAUGGGCCUGAUUUCAACAUCUGCAUUCCAGAGGUGUGCUCUGUACUGAAGAACAAGAGGAAAUUGAAAAACCAAGUGGAUAUUGGGCAUAUAUUUCAAAAGGCUUUUUAAAAGUUUCAGACUUUCUUUAAAAAGCAAAAAGUAUAUUUCUUUAUUACAAAAUACGUAAAUAAAUCACUACAAGCAUAAACAACGUUUGUUUUCUCCU